GCUCUGUUUAGUUCAGUUGGUAGAGCAUGAGACUCUUAAAUCUCAGGGUUGUGGGUUUGAGCCCCACAUUGGGCA